UCCGUCAGUGACGAGAGAGAAAAUUCACAAAACUGUUUCCGGUUACAGUGAAAUGUCUCAAAGUUCCAAUGUCACAUUCUAGUAAUAAGUUGACGCUUUUAUAUGUGCUUGCAUAAGCCUGUUAGCAUGUUGUUACUAAAGGGACACUAUAGUCACCCAGACCACUUCAGCUCAAUUAAGUGGUCUGGGUGCCAGGUCCCUCAGGUUUUAACCCUUCAGAUGUAAACAUGGCAUUUUCAGAGAAACUGCUAUGUUUACAUUAGGGGUUAAGCCAACCUCUAGUGGCUGUCUUCCAGACAGCCGAUAGAGGCGCAUCUGCGACGCUGGAUGCGAAUUUCACAUCCAUCGCGCAGAGAGUCCAUAGGAAAGCACUGAGAAAUGCUUUCAAACGGACUGUUUGAAUGCGCGCGUGGCUCUUGCCGCGCAUGCGCAUUCCGCUCCACUCUGGAGCUGACGUCGGCGGGGGAGGAGAGGUCACCAGUGCCGAGGGAGCUCGGCGCUGGAAUAAGGUAAGCUGCUGAAGGGGUUUUAACCACGGGAGAGGGACCCUGAGGGUGGGGGCACCCUCAGGGCACUAUAGUGUCAGGAAAACCGCUUUGUUUUCCUGACACUAUAGUGAUCCUUUAAGGAUGUGGUAAUUUUCCUAUGAAUAAAAUAAAUUCCAUAACACAGGUACUUCAGAUCACGGAGAGGAGAUUAAAUAUAAAGGUUUCGACCUUUAUAUUAAUCAUUUAUCUACAAGAUAUACAUUGAUGAUUUUCCAUGUCUGUUUUUUUAAAGGAUGUGGCCUUUGGAUUCAGUCCAAGGAUACAUUGACCACCAAUAAAAAUUAACAAAGUAUUAUUUUAGGCUAUGUAUUCAUUGUAUCCCUUAAUACAAUGGUUCCUUAUAGCAGUGGUUUCCAAACCAAACCUAAAGACACGCCUACCAAUCUACAAUUUAAGGAUUACCCAGUUGUAUCUAAGGUGUUUUUAGAAAGAAAAAAGACACAACUGGUUAAUCACUAAAACCUGGACUGGUAGGCGUGCCUUGAGGACUGGUUUGAAAACCCCUGCCUUAUAGCUUGGUCCAAUCUUGUCUCCAACCCCAAGUAAGGGGCUAGACUUUUCAGUCUUUCAGUAGAAUUUCAGAAUGUCAGGUCUAAAAGCAAUGUGUUCUUCUGAGGUUUCAAACUUUUUAUAGGAAUCUGAUUUUUAUAUUUAAUGAGAUGUGAGCAUGUAAGAGCAUCAAAACAGAUGGUCAUCUUUUGUUGGAAGAGCUAUAUCAUAAAGAAACAAAACAAAACUCCAUUAUUUUUAGCACAAGUCAACGUUCAUAAUGUCUCAUAAAAAAAAGUCGUCAAAAAAUUAUAGGAAUUACAAAAUAGAAAAUAAAAACAGCAGCAAUUUUGUACAUGGGGUUUGACCAUCAGAUUUGAAAGAAUUCUAACGCUUAUGAAACAUGUAAGCAUAACGGGCAAUUCUGGUUGAUUCAACCAAUUGUAGUAAGUUAUCUAAAUCUUUACUCCAGAACUGUGCAACUUACUCAUCGAACAACAUUCUACUUCUAAAAUCUUUUAAAGAUCAAUGUUGCUGUAAUUAAAACCCAGUGCAGUCAAUAAAUCACUCAAGUGCAAUGUCACUGUCACGCUUAAUACAUACGUAGAUCAAACAGGGAACAAGGUGAUUGCAAACACAGUGGUUAAAAACCUCACAGCUGGUAAUUUAAAUAUAUAUGGGUUUUAAUUACCAUUUCCAGCUGUGAGGUAUUUUUAACCACUGUGGCCACAAUCACCUCGUUCCCUGUUUUAACAUUCUACUACUACUAAAUAUAUCUAUCUAAGAACUUUGGAAGACAACUUGUGAAAUAGAGCUGGCCAAUGUGUUGUUCAUUCAUCGACCUCCUUCACUGUAUAAUAAGCUUUUUUUUUGGAGGGGAGGGACAAUCUUUAUUUUUAGUUAACCAAUGAACAUUUGACUCAUCUGUAUACAGUAUUGAAUAACAUUCAAUACUUUAAUCAUAUUAAUUUUAGCUAUCAUUUCAGAAUAUAGCAUGAACCAAAAUACCCAGAAAUAAAAGGGGAACACAGAAGGUGCGGUGGGGAGAGAAUGGCCCCAAUAUAUAUAAUAUAUGUCACAUUUCCUUAAUUAAAUAGAAUUUGCAAGUACCCUUAAAUCAGCUAUAAAGUCAAACCAUGGCAGUUAUAUGCUGAAACGCUGUAUGAGAAGUGGUGGGCUUAUUCGUGUUUUUCCUUCAAGGCAAUGAUCUUCAGAGGUCACACUUGUCGUCUCCACAGGACAAGGGUAAGAGAUUUAGCCACAUUUAGGAGAUGUUUAGUAAGUUGAGUUAUUUUUUUUCUCGUUAAGUGUUUUUUUGAAGUGUAAAAGCACUGAAGCAGGUCAAAACAAAGGUCCAUCUCGAAUUGACGUUUCUCGUAGUUCCAAUGCUCGCCACCGCUCCGCCCCAAAACAUGUUUUUCUUUUAACGUGAACAACCACUUCUUUAGAAUUUGCAAAAUUAAAUAAAACAUUGAAAAUCAUUUAUAACUUGCGCUGACCUUAUUCUUCACGAGAAACUCUGUUUUCUUUUAAAUUCUAUAAAAGAUUUAGCAAGUGACAUCAUAUUCCAGUUCAGACAAGGCCAAGAGAAACAUUGCAAAUGGAGAGAACACAUAGAAACAUUGUUUAAUUUCUCCUCUUCUCUGUAAGCGUUCGCUACCCUGACUGUCAAAUGCAAAGGACAGAGUUUAUAACAAUGGCUGACAUAGAGCUGAGAUGGGCAGACUAGAUGGGCCGAAUGGUUCCUAUCUGCCGUCACAUUCUAUGUUUCUAUGGAGGAGCCCAGUUGCAGGAUAAAGAGGUGUUGAGUUCCACUUUUAAUUUUAUUUUUCACCCCUCCCAAAUACAUAUUUGUUAAAUAUAGGGAUAUUUAAAGAUAAUAUUAAAAAUCCGAGAAAGUAACAGAUCCCCUUUUAGUUUUAGCAAACAACCUGCGCUAUAUAUUAAUAAUAUAAUAUUCUUCGUAAAUGCGCUUAUUAUAUCGCAUAUCACCAUUUUACAUGCAUUCCACACCAUGCAAUUUAAAGGACUACCAAAGGGCACCCAGACCUCGUCAUGUCAAUGAAAUGGUCUGGGUGCAAUGCCCCUGCUAUUUUUGCCCUACACUAUAUAACACUGCCAUUUAAUACAUACGCAAUGUUUUCAAUGCAGGGCUAAACAUACCUCUGGUGGCCGUCUUCCUCCUCUGAAUGCUUCUCAUAUACAGCAUUUGGUUUUCAUUCCCAGUGCUUCUCUAGGUGAAGCACUGGAUUGGGUGAGACGAGGAAGAACGAGCAGCUGCACCGAGUGAGUUGUGGCGCUGGAAAAAAGCUAUGUUUUUCUUUUUUUUUAAAAUUAAUUUAGGGGUUCCCUGAAUCUAAAUAGAUAGGAGAACACUACAGCUAAAAAUAGGGGCCCACAGGUGUCAUGACUAAGGCCUCUAUGCCAAAACAUUAUAUCUUUUUUUUUUCUUUUUUUUUUCAAUAAAUAUUUUAUUUUGCCUUCACCUUAUGUUCUGACGUCUGUGGACCUCUAUUUUUAGUUGUUGCUAGUGGGCUGCGGACCCCCUUCCACAGAUCUUCUAUGCAAACAUACUCGUGUGCAGCACUCCUUUGACAUUAUGCAUUGGAGAACACUAUAGCAUUAGAAAUAACAAACGCUAUAGUGUUCCUUUAAGAGAUGUCAUUCUUUAUCCAAAAGAUCUUGCGGAUAUAUAUAUUGCAUACAUAUUAUUAUAUAUGAAUAAACCACAAGUCACAAGGAUGAAUGGUCCAUUAAUGUCUCUAGAAUCCUGAAUCUAGAUGGCAUUUUUUUCCCCAGUAAACGCCUCCACAUAUUUUUUUUUUUACAAGACUAUUAUCCCCGACUAACUGUCUAGCCCCUUCAUGAUGCAUCCUUGUGAAGAUUCACAAUAUGCAUGCAGGCCUACAAAGUGCGGCACCUCCUCUCCUAGGGCCACCAUGGUCUUAUACCCUCACCGGGACCAAAAGUGUAAGUGUAAAUGUGUAAGAGACGUGCCAGGUGGCCAGAUUAAAUUGUCUUCGCUGUCCCUUAUUUAGGUCUCUAUUGGCAAAUUACAAUUUGCUUUACUGUUGGUGUUGGUCAGCUUGUUACGUUUG